rnacentral:rRNA from 1 species
CAAGUCGAACGCGAAAGCCCCGCAAGGGGUAAGUAGAGUGGCAAACGGGUGAGUAACGCGUGGGUGACCUGCCUUCGAGCGGGGGAUAACGUUCCGAAAGGGACGCUAAUACCGCAUGACAUCCUGCCUUUUAAGAGGUGGAGAUCAAAGCUGGGGAUCGCAAGACCUAGCACUCGAAGAGGGGCCCGCGUCCGAUUAGCUAGUUGGUGGGGUAACGGCUCACCAAGGCAACGAUCGGUAGCCGGCCUGAGAGGGCGGACGGCCACACUGGGACUGAGACACGGCCCAGACUCCUACGGGAGGCAGCAGUGGGGAAUUGUUCGCAAUGGGCGCAAGCCUGACGACGCAACGCCGCGUGGAGGAUGAAGAUCUUCGGGUCGUAAACUCCUUUCGAUCGAGACGAAUUCCCUUGCGGUGAACAAUCGCGAGGGUUGACGGUACCGAGAGAAGAAGCCCCGGCUAACUCCGUGCCAGCAGCCGCGGUAAUACGGGGGGGGCAAGCGUUGUUCGGAAUUACUGGGCGUAAAGGGCUCGUAGGCGGCCAACUCAGUCGGACGUGAAAUCCCUCGGCUUAACCGGGGAACUGCGUCCGAUACUGGAUGGCUCGAGUGUGGGAGAGGGAUGCGGAAUUCCAGGUGUAGCGGUGAAAUGCGUAGAUAUCUGGAGGAACACCGGUGGCGAAGGCGGCAUCCUGGACUACUACUGACGCUGAGGAGCGAAAGCCAGGGGAGCAAACGGGAUUAGAUACCCCGGUAGUCCUGGCCCUAAACGAUGAAUGCUUGGUGUGACGGGUAUCGAUCCCUGUCGUGCCGAAGCUACGCAUUAAGCAUUCCGCCUGGGGAGUACGGUC